rnacentral:rRNA from 1 species
GACAGAGGGUGCAAACGUUGCUCGGAAUUACUGGGCGUAAAGCGCGUGUAGGCUGACCGGAAAGUCGGGCGUGAAAUCCCUGAGCUCAACUCAGGAACUGCACUCGAAACUCUCGGUCUAGAGUGGUGGAGAGGGAAGUGGAAUUCCUGGUGUAGAGGUGAAAUUCGUAGAUAUUCGGAAGAACACCAGUGGCGAAGGCGGCUCACUUGACUGGUAUUGACGCUGAGGUGCGAAAGCGUGGGGAGCAAACAGG